rnacentral:rRNA from 1 species
AGCAGCCGCGGUAAUUCCAGCUCCAAUAGCGUAUAUUAAAGUUGUUGCAGUUAAAAAGCUCGUAGUUGAAUUUCGGGACUAGUACGCUGGUCAUGCCUUUGGUAUGUACUGGUGUUACUGGUUCCUACCUUCUGACGAACCGUCAUGUCAUUCAUUUGGUGUGGCGGGGAAUCAGGACUGUUACUUUGAAAAAAUUAGAGUGUUUAAAGCAGGCUCGCGCUUGAAUACAUUAGCAUGGAAUAAUGAAAUAGGACGUUUGAUCCUAUUUUGUUGGUUUCUAGGAUUGACGUAAUGAUUAAUAGGGAUAGUUGGGGGCAUUAGUAUUCAAUUGUCAGAGGUGAAAUUCUUGGAUUUAUUGAAGACUAACUACUGCGAAAGCAUUUGCCAAGGAUGUUUUCAUUAAUCAAGAACGAAAGUUAGGGGAUCGAAGACGAUCAGAUACCGUCGUAGUCUUAACCAUAAACUAUGCCGACUAGGGAUCGGAUGAUGUUAUUUUAAUGACUCAUUCGGCGCCUUACGG